UACGUAGGGUGCAAGCGUUAAUCGGAAUUACUGGGCGUAAAGCGUGCGCAGGCGGCUUUGCAAGACAGAUGUGAAAUCCCCGGGCUUAACCUGGGAACUGCGUUUGUGACUGCAAGGCUAGAGUACGGUAGAGGGGGAUGGAAUUCCGCGUGUAGCAGUGAAAUGCGUAGAUAUGCGGAGGAACACCGAUGGCGAAGGCAAUCCCCUGGACCUGUACUGACGCUCAUGCACGAAAGCGUGGGGAGCAAACAGG
rnacentral:rRNA from 1 species